UCUUCUGUAUGAAGAGCUUGAUGGUAGAGGGGGGCCAGGGAGCUGGUUAGCCCUCCCUAGAGCAGGUACUUCCCUUCCCUGGCAGGCUUCAUGUCAUUCAGACCACCAGUGACAAGGUGUUGAUAUGUGGAAGUAGUUACCUCAGGCUGGCUGUUCCUGCAGCCGGGCUGGGAGCAGUCACUUCAAGGGAAAGCUCUGAAGCCCCUGCCAGCCCCUCUGGUCCACAGAUGUCUCAGGAGGCAGCCCCAGCCUUUCUCGGUUGCAGCGUGGGAUUUGCAAAUGGUCAGCGCACCGGCGUUGUAACUGACUUUAAGGUGGACUUCCACAAAAGCAUAAGUUCCAUGAUGGCGGGGAACAGUACCUUGAUGACUACAAUGGCCUCCUAACUGGUUUAUCACAUCACUCUUGCCCCCAACCUACUAGUCUCCAAAUAGCAAACAGAGUGACCACCAUUGUAACUUGUAUCAAAGUCUUUCCUAACCCACAGAUAAAGAAAUAAAGGCCCAGAAAACCUGCAAGAUUAAUCCAAUGAUUCUGCCACCGUCAGUGGCAAAAAUGGCAGGAAAAGGCAAGACCAGAAGGAAGGUUUUCCAUGUCCAGGUAGAAUGUUCCUUUGAUUCUACUUUCCAUCCUGAGGUCUAUUCAGUAUCAUAUGAGGUGUUGAUUAACAAGCUACAGAAAAAAUAAGUCACAGCUGAGGUAAAGGGAAGGCAACGUAAACAUCCUCUCUCCCAGUUGACAAAAUUAAAGACAUGCAGGACCACACCAAAAAUUGUAUGAUUCAGGUAUUUCUUUGAGGCCACUACUCCCCUUUUGAAGUUCGUUUCCCUCUACACAU